rnacentral:lncRNA from 1 species
AAAUGAGGCCACCCAGUAGUUAGGUGGGAAUUUUCGAGACCUUUGGCACCGUUCUAAGAUGGGUCCUCUCUUCGUAGGCUAAUGCAUUGGCCCUUUUUGACCCGUUUUGGGGCGAAAACAAAAACUGACUCCCGGGCAUAUUUUUUUCGGCCUUUAUGGGCAGAGAACUUUAACACCGCUCAAAAUGAGGCCACCCAGUAGUUAGGUGUGAAUUUUCGAGACCUUUGGCACCGUUCUAAGAUGGGUCCUCUCUUCGUAGGCUAAUGCAUUGGCCCUUUUUGACCCGUUUUGGGGCGAAAACAAAAACUGACUCCCGGGCAUAUUUUUUUCGGCCUUUAUGGGCAGAGAACUUUAAUACCGCUCAAAAUGAGGCCACCCAGUAGUUAGGUGUGAAUUUUCGAGACCUUUGGCACCGUUCUAAGAUGGGUCCUCUCUUCGUAGGCUAAUGCAUUGGCCCUUUUUGACCCGUUUUGGGGCGAAAACAAAAACUGACUCCCGGGCAUAUUUUUUUCGGCCUUUAUGGGCAGAGAACUUUAACACCGCUCAAAAUGAGGCCACCCAGUAGUUAGGUGGGAAUUUUCGAGACCUUUGGCACCGUUCUAAGAUGGGUCCUCUCUUCGUAGGCUAAUGCAUUGGCCCUUUUUGACCCGUUUUGGGGCGAAAACAAAAACUGACUCCCGGGCAUAUUUUUUUUCGGCCUUUAUGGGCAGAGAACUUUAACACCGCUCAAAAUGAGGCCACCCAGUAGUUAGGUGGGAAUUUUCGAGACCUUUGGCACCGUUCUAAGAUGGGUCCUCUCUUCGUAGGCUAAUGCAUUGGCCCUUUUUGACCCGUUUUGGGGCGAAAACAAAAACUGACUCCCGGGCAUAUUUUUC